rnacentral:rRNA from 1 species
GAUGAACGCUGGCGGCGUGCCUAAUACAUGCAAGUCGAGCGAACGGACGAGAAGCUUGCUUCUCUGAUGUUAGCGGCGGACGGGUGAGUAACACGUGGAUAACCUACCUAUAAGACUGGGAUAACUUCGGGGAACCGGAGCUAAUACCGGAUGAUAUUUUGAACCGCAUGGUUCAAAAGUGAAAGACGGUCUUGCUGUCACUUAUAGAUGGAUCCGCGCUGCAUUAGCUAGUUGGUAAGGUAACGGCUUACCAAGGCAACGAUGCAUAGCCGACGUGAGAGGGUGAUCGGCCACACUGGAACUGAGACACGGUCCAGACUCCUACGGGAGGCAGCAGUAGGGAAUCUUCCGCAAUGGGCGAAAGCCUGACGGAGCAACGCCGCGUGAGUGAUGAAGGUCUUCGGAUCGUAAAACUCUGUUAUUAGGGAAGAACAUAUGUGUAAGUAACUGUGCACAUCUUGACGGUACCUAAUCAGAAAGCCACGGCUAACUACGUG